AUGCAAGGUACAAUGAAUACCGGAAAUGGUGGCAUAGCUAGAGAAGGACAGGGGAAGCUCGUUGUAGGUGUACUGGAAGGAGUUGAUGGAGCGGAAUUGUGGUCGUUGUCUCCCGCCUUUGCAUCAGAUUCGUCAUUGGAGUCAAUCGGUGCACCAUCUCAGAUAGGGCUGUUAAUUGUUGGCGAGUCUUUAACUUAG